rnacentral:lncRNA from 12 species
CCCCCCCCCCCCCCCCCCCCCCCCCCCCCCCCCCCCCCCCCCCCCCCCCCCCCCCCCCCCCCCCCCCCCCCAGUAUGGACCAGUAUGGACCAGUAUGGACCAAUAUAAACUAGUUAGAAUCAAUAUGAACCAGUAUGGACCAGUAUGGACCAGUAUGGGCUAGUAUGGAUCAGUAUGGACCACUAUGGAUCAGUAUGGAUCAGUACGGAUCAGUAUGGACCAGUAUACACCGAUAUAAACUAGUUAGAACCAGUAUGGACCAGUAUGAAUCAGUAUGGACCAGUAUGGAUCAGUAUGGACCAGUAUGGAUCAGUAUGGACCAGUAUGGACAAGUAUAGACCGAUAUAAACUAGUUAGAACCAGCAUGGAUCAGCAUGAAUCAGUAUGGACCAGUACGGACCAAUAGAAACCAGUUACAACCAGUAUGAACCAGAACAAACUGGUUAAAACCGCUACAAAGCAGUAUGGACCAGUAUUUACCAGCAUGAACCAGCACAAACCAGUACAGGCCACUAUAGACCAGUAUGGACCAGUAUGGACCAAAAUAAACCAGGAACCCCAGCCAGGGUCCUGGCAUUGUCUCGGUGCUUCCCAGUCACUCCCAGUCCCUCCCAGUUCAAUCCCAGUCCCUCCCAGUCCAUUCCCAGUUGCUCCUAGUCCAUUCCAGGUUGCUCCCAGUCCCUCACAGUCUGUCCCAGCCCAUCCCAGUUUCCUCCCAGUCCGUUCCCAGUGCCCCCAGUCCGUUCCCAGUGCCCCCCAGUCCGUUCCCAGUCCCCCCCAGCCCGUUCCCAGUCCGUCCCAGUCCGCACCAGUGCUCUCGUCGGCAGCCAGGAUGCCCUUGCCGGGCGCCACGAUGCGCUGGGCGAUGGCCGCCAGCUCCUUCUUCUGCUCGGGGGUGAGCGCGGGCACGGGCGGGGACAUGCUGGGCUGCUGGGGACCGAGUGUCCGAGUGUCCGGAGGAGUGUCCGAGUGUCCGGAGUGUCCGGAGUGUCCGAGACCUGGGCUCCGCUGCAGAGCUCGCGGGGUGUGGGCGGGGCUUGUGGCAGUGACGUCACCGCGCGCCCGCCCCGAGUGGGCGGAGCCUUAAAAGGGCAACGCCGCGAGCUGAGUCACGGUGGGGCCCACCCGAGCUCUGGGGGGAUUUUGGGGUUCCCGAGGGGAUUUUGGGGUGUCCCGAGAAAGUUUUGGGGCGAUCCUGGGAGUUUUGGGGUGCGGCGGGUGUCCCACGGGUUUCGGGGUCCAGAGAGGGGAGAUUUUGGGGUUUCCGGGGCGAGAUUUUGGGGGUUCAAGGUCAAUUUUCGGGCAUUCGUUUUGGGGCUCCGCGUAAUUUUUGGGGUUCAGGGUCAGUUUUGGGGUGCCCGAGAUCAAAUCUGGG